UUUUUUUGCGGGCUGGGAUCACCUCCUUUUUAGGGAGACCUACUUCGAGAUAUCGCGCCUUAACAACUAUAGCCGUGUCUUGAGGUCAUCCUUAGGUCGGAUGGGGCGGUCAGAGAGCUUUCAAACUUUAGGGUUCGUGUUAUGGGCUAUUAGCUCAGGUGGUUAGAGCGCACCCCUGAUAAGGGUGAGGUCCCUGGUUCAAGUCCAGGAUGGCCCACAUCCACCCCAAACUGGGGGUAUAGCUCAGUUGGUAGAGCGCUGCCUUUGCACGGCAGAAGUCAGCGGUUCGAGUCCGCUUACCUCCACUCUCCUUUGUGAUGGUGCUAGUUGGGGUGAGAUGAGAUGAGAUGACCUCUGAUAGAUAAUUUAUCACUGUACAGCUCCUAAAUCUUUAGAUGUUAGUCUGAGAUUGGAUAGCUGGACAUCUGUUCCAGUCAGAACCUUGAAAACUGCAUAGAGAAAAGCAUAAUGGUGUAGGAAAACGUCGUAAAGACAAUUCCAAUGUAGGUCAAGCUACAAAGGGCUAACGGUGGAUACCU
rnacentral:tRNA from 1 species